GACGAACGCUGGCGGCGUGCUUAACACAUGCAAGUCGAGCGGUAAGGCCCUUUCGGGGGUACACGAGCGGCGAACGGGUGAGUAACACGUGGGUGACCUGCCCUCAGCUCUGGGAUAAGCCUGGGAAACCGGGUCUAAUACUGGAUAUGACUCCAUGACGCAUGUUGUGGGGUGGAAAGCCUUGUGCGGCUGAGGAUGGGCCCGCGGCCUAUCAGCUUGUUGGUGGGGUGAGGCCUACCAAGGCGACGACGGUAGCCGGCCUGAGAGGCGACCGGCCACACUGGGACUGAGACACGGCCCAGACUCCUACGGGAGGCAGCAGUGGGGAAUCUUGCGCAAUGGGCGAAAGCCUGACGCAGCGACGCCGCGUGA
rnacentral:rRNA from 1 species